AGUAAUGCCUAGGAAUCUGCCUGGUAGUGGGGGAUAACGUCCGGAAACGGGCGCUAAUACCGCAUACGUCCUGAGGGAGAAAGUGGGGGAUCUUCGGACCUCACGCUAUCAGAUGAGCCUAGGUCGGAUUAGCUAGUUGGUGGGGUAAAGGCCUACCAAGGCGACGAUCCGUAACUGGUCUGAGAGGAUGAUCAGUCACACUGGAACUGAGACACGGUCCAGACUCCUACGGGAGGCAGCAGUGGGGAAUAUUGGACAAUGGGCGAAAGCCUGAUCCAGCCAUGCCGCGUGUGUGAAGAAGGUCUUCGGAUUGUAAAGCACUUUAAGUUGGGAGGAAGGGCAGUAAGUUAAUACCUUGCUGUUUUGACGUUACCAACAGAAUAAGCACCGGCUAACUUCGUGCCAGCAGCCGCGGUAAUACGAAGGGUGCAAGCGUUAAUCGGAAUUACUGGGCGUAAAGCGCGCGUAGGUGGUUCAGCAAGUUGGAUGUGAAAUCCCCGGGCUCAACCUGGGAACUGCAUCCAAAACUACUGAGCUAGAGUACGGUAGAGGGUGGUGGAAUUUCCUGUGUAGCGGUGAAAUGCGUAGAUAUAGGAAGGAACACCAGUGGCGAAGGCGACCACCUGGACUGAUACUGACACUGAGGUGCGAAAGCGUGGGGAGCAAACAGGAUUAGAUACCCUGGUAGUCCACGCCGUAAACGAUGUCGACUAGCCGUUGGGAUCCUUGAGAUCUUAGUGGCGCAGCUAACGCGAUAAGUCGACCGCCUGGGGAGUACGGCCGCAAGGUUAAAACUCAAAUGAAUUGACGGGGGCCCGCACAAGCGGUGGAGCAUGUGGUUUAAUUCG
rnacentral:rRNA from 1 species